UGUUAGAGUUGUCCGCCAUGUUUAAAA
rnacentral:piRNA from 1 species